rnacentral:lncRNA from 1 species
CUGCAGGACGAGCCCUGGGAUGCUGCCUUCUGUGGUGGUCUUAGUGGCUGUAACACCGGGAGCAGAGUACAGAGUGAGGCACUGACCAAACUCCCCACUGCAUGCCACUGCUGUGACCAGAACUCUUUUCUCUUCCCCGCCUCCUUCGCCUGUGUGCCCGCGGGCCCCCUAUCUGCAACCACUGGCUCACCUCUGCAUGACAGAAGUCCUCCAGCUCCGCGUCCUCCGAGGCCUCAGAAACCUGCCAGUCGGUUAGCGAGUGCAGCUCCCCGACCUCGGACUGGACCAAGACUGGUCCCCAUGAACAGCCCUCAGCCACCACCCUGCAGCGGAGGAAGGAUCGUGUGGAACAUCUCCGUGACACUGAGACAGGCCCAGCUGGUGGAGGCACUGUGGGCUCC